AGAGUUUGAUCCUGGCCCAGGAUGAACGCUAGCUACAGGCUUAACACAUGCAAGUCGAGGGGCAGCAUGUUGGUUGCUUGCAACCAAUGAUGGCGACCGGCGCACGGGUGAGUAACGCGUAUCCAACCUACCCUUGUCCAUCGGAUAACCCGUCGAAAGGCGGCCUAACACGAUAUGCGGUUCUCAGCAGGCAUCUAACGAGAACGAAAUGUGAAGGAGAAGGAUGGGGAUGCGUCUGAUUAGCUUGUUGGCGGGGUAACGGCCACAAGGCGACGAUCAGUAGGGGUUCUGGAGAGGAAGGUCCCCCANAUUGGAACUGAGACACGGUCCAAACUCCUACGGGCA
rnacentral:rRNA from 1 species